rnacentral:rRNA from 1 species
AUUGAACGCUGGCGGCAGGCCUAACACAUGCAAGUCGAACGGUAACAGGAAGAAGCUUGCUUCUUUGCUGACGAGUGGCGGACGGGUGAGUAAUGUCUGGGAAACUGCCUGAUGGAGGGGGAUAACUACUGGAAACGGUAGCUAAUACCGCAUAACGUCGCAAGACCAAAGAGGGGGACCUUCGGGCCUCUUGCCAUCGGAUGUGCCCAGAUGGGAUUAGCUUGUUGGUGGGGUAACGGCUCACCAAGGCGACGAUCCCUAGCUGGUCUGAGAGGAUGGCCAGCCACACUGGAACUGAGACACGGUCCAGACUCCUACGGGAGGCAGCAGUGGGGAAUAUUGCACAAUGGGCGCAAGCCUGAUGCAGCCAUGCCGCGUGUAUGAAGAAGGCCUUCGGGUUGUAAAGUACUUUCAGCGGGGAGGAAGGGAGUAAAGUUAAUACCUUUGCUCAUUGACGUUACCCGCAGAAGAAGCACCGGCUAACUCCGUG